rnacentral:tRNA from 1 species
GCCGUUAUAGCUCAAUUGGCAGAGCGCCGCCCAUUUAAAGCGGGACAACACUGAUGAUACACAGAAAAAGUUCCACUCGCCUAUCAAGCGGGAGAAGAACGCUUCCGUGGUACCGGUUCAAAUCCGGUUGACGGCUCCA